UACGACGGGGGCUAGCGUUGUUCGGAAUUACGGGGCGUAAAGGGCGCGUAGGCGGAUUUUUAAGUCGGGGGUGAAAUCCCGGAGCUCAACUCCGGAACUGCCUUCGAUACUGAAAGUCUGUAGCACGGUAGAGGUGAGUGGACUUCCGAGUGUAGAGGUGAAAUUCGUAGAUAUUCGGAGGAACACCAGUGGCGAAGGCGGCUCACUGGACCGUUGCUGACGCUGAGGCGCGAAAGCGUUGGGAGCAAACAGG
rnacentral:rRNA from 1 species